CUCAGGUGGCAAAGAUGAACCUAAAUCAAAAGAUUCCUCAAAGAUAAAUGAUAAUCCUAAAUCAAGAUCAAAGGACAGCUCAGGUGGCAAAGAUGAACCCAAAUCAAAGGCUCUUCAAAGAUUAAUGAUAAUCCUAAAUCAAAUAACUCAACUUUUAAAGAUAAUAAUGAAGGAAGCAAAGACGAAAAGAGGAAGGAGAUUUUAAAAUGCAGUGAUAAAGUAACUGAAAAAACGUCCAAUGAAGUGCGUGACACUAUUCAGAAAGAUAAUUCAGCUGUUGAUUCAUCAAAGAAUACAGAUAACUUUUCAGUUAACACGAGUCAAGAUGAACCUCGAUUGAUCGAAGAGACUCAAACAUUGAGUCAAGAUGAAGAUCCUUUGAGUGUGUUGGCAAAACGAGGUCGUGUUUCUUCAUCGGUGUCGAAAAAUGACGUUGGGAAAAUGGCCGUUGAUGAAAAUCAGAAAAAACAGAGCAGCUCUGAACCUUAUUUAAGGAGUGGCAAAAAUAAGAGAAAAACUAAAGAAACGAAACUAAACGAUGGAGAUGAAAGUGAUGUGGUA